ACAGGGCAAAGGAUUGGUCCAUAUGUGAUCCUCUCCAAGGCAUACCGGACUCCAUUUCAUUAACUGCAAAGAUAUUCAUCUCAAGGAGAAUGGGGAAAGAUUUUGAGAGUCAUCUAUUCUAUUCCCCUGCUUUAAGAUGCUGAAAAUGCUCAGAGGUCAAAGACAAGUUGGUAAGAAACACAACGACCAAGUGACAAAGGAAGCCAGGAGAAAGACACUCUUUGUCCUAUCCCACUGAAUGAAACCCCACCAAAACAAAACCUUGGGGUUUCUUACAUUCCUGAUCCUCGACUACUCAGGGAAAGAGGUUCAAUCCUGCCUUAUGGACAAAUCCAUUUUAAUUCUAAAUGUCCAAGUUGUCAUUCCCACCAUGCAAGAGCCAGCCUCCAACACAGCUCCACCAUCAAAUCAACUUUGUUACAGUCUAGCCUUCUUAGCAGAGGCUUCAUGGCUCAGCUGAUGGAAAGGAAGGCCCUCCCCCUGCCCGUGGGGGUACUGCUGGAACGAGAAGCGCUCAGCCAACACCAUGCCUGCCAGGGGCUCAGAAUGGUUCAACUGUGUGACCUAGUUGGCCACAGCAAUUCGUGGAUUGUUUUAAACUCAUUAAAGAUCAGGGUUGGUGAAAUCAA